GACGAACGCUGGCGGCGUGCUUAACACAUGCAAGUCGAACGGAAAGGCCCUGCUUGCAGGGUGCUCGAGUGGCGAACGGGUGAGUAACACGUGGGUGAUCUGCCCCUUAUUUUGGGAUAAGCCUGGGAAACUGGGUCUAAUACUGGAUAGGACCAUGCUGUAGGUGGUCUUGUGGAAAGAUUAGUUUCGGUAAGGGAUGAGCUCGCGGCCUAUCAGCUUGUUGGUGGGGUAAUGGCCUACCAAGGCGUCGACGGGUAGCCGGCCUGAGAGGGUGGACGGCCACAUUGGGACUGAGAUACGGCCCAGACUCCUACGGGAGGCAGCAGUGGGGAAUAUUGCACAAUGGGCGCAAGCCUGAUGCAGCGACGCCGCGUGGGGGAUGACGGCCUUCGGGUUGUAAACUCCUUUCAGCCAUGACGAAGCCCUUGUGGUGACGGUAGUGGUAGAAGAAGCACCGGCUAACUACGUG
rnacentral:rRNA from 1 species